rnacentral:rRNA from 1 species
AGAGUUUGAUCCUGGCUCAGGAUGAACGCUGGCGGCGUGCCUAACACAUGCAAGUCGAACGGAUGCGGAGAAUCGGGCUUGCCCGAUGCUCUGUGUUAGUGGCGGACGGGUGAGUAACGCGUGGGCAACCUGCCCCAUACCGGGGGAUACCACCUGGAAACAGGUGCUAAUACCGCAUAAGCGCACACUGCCGCAUGGCAGAGUGUGAAAAACUCCGGUGGUAUGGGAUGGGCCCGCGUCUGAUUAGCCAGUUGGCGGGGCAGCGGCCCACCAAAGCGACGAUCAGUAGCCGGCCUGAGAGGGCGGACGGCCACAUUGGGACUGAGACACGGCCCAAACUCCUACGGGAGGCAGCAGUGGGGAAUAUUGCACAAUGGGGGGAACCCUGAUGCAGCGACGCCGCGUGAGUGAAGAAGUAUUUCGGUAUGUAAAGCUCUAUCAGCAGGGAAGAAGGAGACGGUACCUGACUAAGAAGCCCCGGCUAACUACGUGCCAGCAGCCGCGGUAAUACGUAGGGGGCAAGCGUUAUCCGGAUUUACUGGGUGUAAAGGGAGCGUAGACGGUAAAGCAAGUCUGAAGUGAAAACCCAGGGCCCAACCGUGGGAUUGCUUUGGAAACUGUUGUACUGGAGUACGGGAGGGGCAGGCGGAAUUCCUAGUGUAGCGGUGAAAUGCGUAGAUAUUAGGAGGAACACCGGCGGCGAAGGCGGCCUGCUGGACCGUAACUGACGUUGAGGCUCGAAGGCGUGGGGAGCAAACAGGAUUAGAUACCCUGGUAGUCCACGCAGUAAACGAUGAUUA